CCUAAGUCAUUUUUCUUUCCCUCUCCUCAUACAAUCUCUUCACGUCAUCCUGUCGACCGCUGGAUCUUCCUCCAUGACGAAGUGAGCACCUCCCAUGGCUCGCAUUCUUCUUCCUAUCGGAAUUGAAUGGUUGCAUCCGACCAAACAAACCACAUCCAUCGCAAGGUCAAGCUUCCAGGUCCCCAAUUCCAGGCCUCCGGGCACCAACCACCCCUUGCCCUUUCCCACCCUCUGCCCAGAGGAAUCUUCCCUUGUCGUCGUGUAAAGGUUGCUCCUUUCUUCGAUCUUGUUGCCCUUCUCUCUGCAAAAGCAUAUUUGAGGGGGUUAUGGCUGGUGGCUUUUGAGUUCUACCGCUACUGAUCCUUUGCUCUCUCUUCCAAGGGAUUCUUGGAGAGGGGCACCAACCCAAUCGCCCCACGGAGAGGAUUUCAGGUGUGGAGGAUUGGUUGUGACCAAGGCAGCAAGCAUAAAGAACAUUCUGAGGGCAUUGAAGGAGAAAAGAGGCGAAAUUUGUUUGGAAUAAUUGCGAAGCUUGUCUGUGGACGAGAUCAAAGUUGAACUAUCCAAGUUCAAGGGAAUAGGACCAAAACGGCAUCGUGAGGUAGGUUCGAUUCAAUGCACUGCUUUGUGCUAAUCCAAAGGCUUAGGGAAAAUCCAAUUGUGUGAGCAAUUAUGGGUGACAAAGUUGCUGGAGUCGCUUUUCAGAACCUUUCAGGUGCAGAAAAUAUCGGAUGAGGCAAUAGGGUGAUCUGCAAUACUUUAGACCAGCUUUUUGUGUAGUAUGCAAAUCAAAUGCCAAAGAUGCUACAGCUCUUUGUGGGAGAGUGAAUAGCUGGAUAUGUAUCAACUUUGCAAAGAAUGUGCAAGAUAAUUUGGCUAGGGGAUUUUGUCACGAGCUUGCUUAGAUGUGCCAGAUAUCAGGAAUGGAAUUUUCUCUAGAUCCUGUGCUUCAUCCUCUAACUGCUCAGCCUGAUCAUGUUGAAAGAGCGCUUUCAACACGCUAUCAUGAUGCAAUGACCAUACUCAAACCUCGGGGAAAGGAGCUUGAUUUGCUCAUUGUAAUAUUGCCUGAUAAUAAUGGUUCUCUUUAUGGAUGAGUAAACAGUACGUUGCCAAUGUUGGUCACUAGAUCAAUGGAAAGGUUGGAGGAAGGGACACAAUUCUUGUCGAUGCAUUGUCAAGGCACAUUCCUCUUGUUAGUGACCGACCAACUAUAAUAUUUGGUGCUGACGUAACAGAUCCUCAUCCUGGGGAAGAUUUUAGCCCUUCUAUCGCAGUUAUUCUAUUGACAAAGUUUCCUAGCGUGCCACCAACGUUCCAAGUACAGGGUGACCUUUUCCCUCAAGGUUGGCUUGGCUUGCCUCCUCGUCUCCCUUCUCAUUCUCAUCCAAGCACCUUAAUCAAGUCUUCGGCACCAACUUCAUAUUGGAAAAGGUUGGUAUGAAAAAAAUAAGCAAGUGAGAAAGAGGACUCCAAUGAAA